ensembl:lncRNA
GGGGGGGGGGGGGGGGGGGGGGGGGGGGGGGGGGGGGGGGGGGGGGGGGGGGGGGGUUCCGAUCUUGCUGUUGCCGUGGGGGCCCGGCGGCGCCUUGAGGCGCGGGCUGAAGCGGGCCGGCUUGGCGAAGGAGGAGGCGUGAGCGGCGGAGUUGGGGUGGCCCUGGCCGGCGGGGCCCAGGCGGAGCUGCACGGCGGCGCUGCCCGGCUUGCUCCUCCGCCGGGUCCGCUGGGGGGGGGGGGGGGGGGGGGGGGGCGCCGGGUCCGCUCCGGGGGGCCGCCGCCGUAGCGCGCGUUCAGCUGCACAUUGAAGGUGCGCUGCUGCUGCUGCUCCCUCCCGAGGAGCGUCGGGCGCUGCUGCCGGCUGCCAGAGGAGCCCCCCCGGCCGGGCUGCAGCACGUACGUGAUCCUCCUUAGCCUGCCCUUUUCGGAGGCUGCGAGCCCUCGUGACAAAAGUGCCCAGGCAGCGAGGAGGAGGAAGCCCCAUCUGAUCCGACCCAUUUCCACAGCGGCAGCCCCGGCAGCCGGCGAACUUCGCGGAGCCCUGGUGCAGCGCAAGGCUUUCCUCUCCGCCAAAGGACGCGCGUGUGCGCGACCUGCGCCCGGGGCGCGGGUCCCUCCUCCGCUCGCUGCCCCCCAACCUGCUCCGGGCGGGCGGAGAAGGAAAAGAGCCUCGGGAUCCUCCCGCCCGCCCCCCAAACUGUUCGGAAAGUUCAGCAAACACUUCGCCCCGCGGAGCAGGAAAACAUCGUUGGAAGAAAGGAAGCGGCGGGGGGGGGGGGGGGGGGGGGGGGGGGGGGGGGCGGGUGCGAGCCGAGCUGCGAGCCGGAGCGGGAAGGGAGGAGGAGCAGCAGGGGAAGGGUGUUUGCUGGAGGGGGGUGGUCGCAAUGGAGAGCAGAUGUCUCGGCUGCCGGGGGGCUGCGGGGGGGGGGGGGGGGGGGGGGGGGGGGGGGGGGGGGGGGGGGGGGGGGGGGGGGGGGGGGGGGGGGGGGGGGGGGGGGGGGGGGGGGGGGGGGGGGGGGGGGGGGGGGGGGGCGCAGCCAAUCUGGGGCCGGCCUGACGUCAGGGGCGCUCCCGGGCGGGGAGGGGGCCCGGCCGGGCCAGUGCCCGCGGGGCCCGGCGAGCUCCGGGGCCCGGCUCCGCAGCCGGCGCCGCCUGGGAAAGGCGAGCCUGGGAAGUACCUGUGUGAACCUGGGGGACCCGGCCCGCAGAGCUGCCCGAGCUGCUGGGGCGGGGUACCUGUGCUUCGGCAGCUUUCUGUUGUGUUUCAAUGGAGGUGAGGCUUUACAGCCCCAAAAGAGUAAUGUACGUGCUUCGCUCUGUAGGUGGGGACUCGAUGGAAGCGCUUACACAUGUUCAAGGGACCAGGUUUGUCUGCAGUAACACCAGGUUGGCCACAGAAGUUUUAACAGCUAAAAGAGGACUUCAGUGAACCACCACUGCAGACUAAAUCUCAGCUCAACAUUUCUUCACAUGUAGUUUCUGCUUCCAAAGGACAAAAAGUUCAUCCUGCACAAAACAGCCAGAUGCUGGCCUUUUAAAAUCAAGCCUGGUGACUACUGAAGUUCUGAGGACUUUUUGGUAAAUGGUGUCACUGCUUAUGGGAAAUCUGCUCUGACUGCCUCCCCAGCUCCUGUGGAAAAGACACUGACCUGAGUUAGCGUGGGAAAUCUGCUAUGACUGCCUCCCCACCUCCUGUGGAAAAGACACUGACCUGAGUUAGCAGUGACAAACAGGAAUUAGUAUCCCACAGCACCUUUCAGGCACAGCCCUCUUUUGAAGAAGAGCUGGAAAAGCAGUUUGCACUGUUUCUGUUCUUGUCCCCUGUGGUUUGUGACCAAAGGGUGAACAUAAAGAAAUGUAAAGUUCUUCAGUCUGUACACCACCCAGCAGAGGGGGCAGAUCUCUGGAUGCUCUGUUCUAAGGCUGAGGCUGAGAAGGGCAGAACUGGCUGGAAGACUGGGAGCAGGACAGAUGCAGGAGGCAGAGCUGCUGCCCUGAUGAGAUGGCAGGACUGCUUCAAGGUUUAAAGGCUUAAUGGACAGGAGAGAAGUGAGUUUGAGAGUGUGAGUAUCUACAAGAAGAACCAAACCAGCAUUAUUCAAACCAAAAUAAAAGGAAGAACUAAACUGCCAUAUAUAUUUUUGCUCAACUCUCAUGACUUGGGGUCAGUCCCAUGAGUUGAAUGAGGAAGGACCAUUGUUUUGAGCUGUCAAAGCUGGCAGCACUCAGACCUCCACCACUCUUUUCAUCAAGCAGCUGCUGCCUGUGUCUCAUGGAGGAUGUUUGGUGCAGAGGCUUGCAGGGCAAGGCAGGGACCUUUGCAUGACUCUUCAGUGAGGAUGUGCAGUUAUGCUGAGGGUGAGGUCACCUGAGCACAGGUGAUCUCUGAGGCAGCAAUAAACAUCACAGUACCACCGCAUCUCCCUGUGACUCCAUGUCCACAUUAGCCAGGCAGUAAGCUAAAGACCAGCAAAGCUUAAUGUGUCCAGCUAUGGGCUCACUAAAUGGCCCUGCUGAUCUUGUAGAUCCACCAGGCAGCAUGUCUUGGCUUGUAAGGAAAGCUGAGUUGGGAGCUCACAUUUAACAUUAGACUUUGACAAGGUUGAAUGCUGUAUUUAGCCUCAAUUUUGGCUAUUUAAGAAAACUUUUACAGUACUGUAGCUCCAUUAGCUUCAGUUAUAUUACUUCAAACUUCUUUUGAGCUGAAGGAGGAAAAGCAGUCUGUAAUUUCUUGUAAGCUGAGAAUCAGCUGGAGACCUGUAUUUGCUCUUUUCCUUUUCUGUACUAUACAAUUAUCUGAAAAAAGUCCUGUAUUUUGCAGUCUAAAUUACACCUUUAGCCAUAGCUCUGUACAGGUAACAUGACUCUAAUGUGGAGAGUAUUUGUUUUGAACAAAAAAAAAACAGCUUAGUCUAACUGUCUGUCAUCACAGUAGGAAAAAGAAGUAAUUGGUUUUUAUUAUGUUACUAAAGUAUAUAGCACAUGUGACUCUGAAUACAUAUGUGAUUUGCAGAGUAAGACCAUGUAGAUCUAAGUGUCAUUUCUGCAUGCUAUUUUCCAAACAGAACUGUACCUUCCAAUCCUGAUUGUUGUUUGUUUCUUCAGGCAGAAACUGCAAUUACUCUACUCUAGUUUGUACUAGUAUCCUGAGGCCUCAACUGUUCCUAAGUGUUACCACAGUAAAAAUAUCAAUAAUGUUUCACAAAAGGACCAGUCCUGCUCACUCUAUUUAUGUAGGCACUUCAUCCAAGGAACUCAGACUAGGCCUGGAUGGAUGUGUGAGGCUUUGGAAGGAAGCAGUGGAGCUUUGCUGUACCCAUUCACUACUGGUGACCUUCCUUGUGAUUUCACGAUUUCUAAUGACCAUACUUGGCACAUCCCAGUAAUUCCAGACUCACGCUACCUUACCUUGGGUAACCAACCUUCUGCCUCCCCCUUCUUGGAUUUGCUGAAUCCAAGAUGUACGAAUGUGCCUUCCCAAGCACCUUCUCUGAAAGAACCCAUCAUCUCCCAAGGCCACUCUCCCACUGCCACUGCAAUCAGGGCUCAGCUGCAUGAGGCACUGUACACACAGCCCAGGUGGUAAAUCCUGCUGGCUCUUCUGACCAGAGUCAUGGGGUCCUGAAGCACAUUAGCUUUCCAGGGGCCAAGGAAUUUUUAUGAUGAGCUUGGUCCAUGAUAUGAAUUCACAUCUUGGAGCAGUACAGAUCCUGUGUGGCACCCAGUUUCUGAAGCAGACAGAUUAGCAUGCAGAUAUUCCAGAGCCAAAAGUCUGAACGGGAAAACAAAGUAAUGAUAGUGGGAGUAGGGCUCAUCAUUCCCACUCUGACUACUACCAAAAGAGACUGCAAUAAGGACUUUUUCUUGCAUUAAGUCACACUGAAAGUUGGAUCUGUUUCGCAAAAGUCUGAUGCCAGUCUGUCACCACUGACCACCACAAUAUCCAGCAAAAUACACACUUAAAGCAAGUAGGAGUAGGCUUCUUUAUAAAUUACUGACAAUAGCUGUAGUAAAAGAAGUUGUGUGGAUUUGUAUAGCCUUGAAUUCCAUUUUACCAAACUAGCAGAAAUCCCUUCUAGAAUAUUUGGCAAUUCCACAGUCAUCCUCACAUACAGAAAAUAACUGAUUCAAAAAUACAAGAUUUUUUCAAAGAUAUGAAAAUCUCUGCCUGUGAUGCUACAAUUAUUCUUUCCCUCAAGGAAAUAAAUAUAUCUUGUCUACAAAACAAUUAAAAUACCUAUAGAACUUUUUUAUCACACUGUUCCUUUCAAUUGCUUGUUUCUUUGUACAAUCCAAUGUACACUGAAAAUAAACAAACUGCAGAGGAAAUUAGGUGGAAAGGAGCACAAAAAUAGGAAAAUACAUACAAUUAUUUCACUUUACCUUAGGAGAAGACAUGUUUAAGCUAACAUAUUAUUCAGAAAAGCAAAGUAAAUAUUAAAACUAAUAUUUGAAAACUCUCACAGUGUGGGUAUGUUGUAUGCCAAGAAUACUAACCUCUACAAAAAUAAACUUCAGCUGUGGACCCUGAUUUUUCAGUGUGGCACCGUGUGCUGCUCAGACUUAUGAAAGCUGAAGGAAAAAGUCUGUGUAAAAUAAAGCUGCUUCUGACUUCAAUUAGCGUUGAAGAAUGUCUUAAAGUUUUCAUAAUUGUACAUAAACUAGGCAGACUAGCAAAUCAGUGGAGGUGAAGCAGAGAGAAGUGGUAUGAAUCUGUGGAAAGAGGAGCCAUGGCCCAUGGGAAUACCAGCCAUGAUUAGCCCUGCAGCAGCUGCUGAAUAACCUGAAAGGUAAUGUUCUCACAGCCUUAUCCGUGUUUGGUCUCCCCCUCUGACAGCCUGGGAUGAAGCUGGGAGGACAGCUUGGGUAUCUACUGUCCAGUUUAACCUUGCUUUGCAUGUCACAGAGACAGGAACACAGCCCUGCCUAGCACCUGAGCUUGACUGUCAGGCUAAUUGUUUAAAGACCAGCUGGGCACACAGAGCAGCAGAUCCUGGCUCUCUGAAUUAGAAAAAA